UAGGGUUCGAUCAUGGCUCAGAAUGAACGCUGGCGGCAUGGAUUAGGCAUGCAAGUCGAACGAUCUCUUCGGAGAUAGUGGCGAAAGGGUGAGUAACGCGUGAGGAACCUGCCCUAAAGUCGGGGAUAGCCCAUGGAAACGUGGAUUAAUACCGGAUGUGGCGCUGAACUACAUGGUUCAGUUGCUAAAAUUUUUUGCUUUAGGAUGGCCUCGCGUCCCAUUAUGCUUGUUGGUGAGGUAACGGCUCACCAAGGCUACGACGGGUAGCUGGUCUGAGAGGAUGGUCAGCCACACUGGGACUGAGACACUGCCCAGACUCCUACGGGAGGCUGCAGUCGAGAAUCUUCCGCAAUGCGCGAAAGCGUGACGGAGCAAUGCCGCGUGGAGGACGAAGGCCCUCGGGUCGUAAACUCCUGUCACUCGGAACGAACACAAUGACGGUACCGAGAGAGGAAGCCACGGCUAACUACGUGCCAGCCGCCGCGGUAAUACA
rnacentral:rRNA from 1 species